rnacentral:lncRNA from 1 species
GACAUAGACAGCAGCACGGAGGACGGGACUGAGCCCAGCCCCUCUCAGAGCGCUGUAGAACGGUCCUAGUGUGCAGACGCCGGAGUGCACUUUAGAGCCUGCGUGGUUACCAAAUGUCCAGGGAAACUUAAAAUUUGUUAUAGUAAAAAAGAAAAAAAAAAAAAAGAAAGAAAGAAAAAAGCACUUUGCUCAUAUUUAGGCUGGGGACCUAGAAGCAUUUUAACAAAAUUAAACUCACAGAGGAAUGUACUUUAAAAAAAAAAAAUAGAAAAAGAAAAAAAAAAAAGCAGAGGAAACGAUGCACCCCAUGGAGCCCGGCACCUUGUUGGUGCUAAGCAGCGAGAAGAGACUUUCCUGUGAGUGGUCCUCGACUGCUUUCCACUGAGCAAAUACCACCAGAGAGUAUGAAAAGGAAAAGAAAGGAGAAUAUGAAGAGUUUGUAUUUUUGAAAUGAUGUAUCUGAACAGUUUUUCAAAAAUUGUGUUUGUUUUUGCAAAUCCCUGGAGAUGUUGAUUUGGCUAGCAUUUUACAUUUGCUCAGUUCAUGAUUAGUUUAUGAAUACCUAGGGAAGUCCUGGCAUUGGAGUCCUUGCUGGACGGUAGACAUCAGUCAGGUUGCUGCCUGGGCAGUUUGGGGUGGCUUGUACAUGUGCUCCUUGGUUGUAUACUAAUUUAUUGUGGAGUUCCACACUUGCCUAUUUAUUUAAUGUAAAUGUUUUGAAGCAGGCCGAAUCCCUUUUCCUACAUGUCCUGGGAAGCUGGAUCCCUGGCCUUCCCACCUUCCCACCCCCUCACCCCCCUUUAAGAAGACGGAUUAGAGAAGAUUUGGUCCGGAAGCAGAGGAAAAGACAUUUCUAGCCCAAAGGAAAUGCUCAGUGGUGUUCCUGAAAAUGAGCUCUGCUCAUUGGAUGCUUUCUCGACACCGACGUUGCACACCCGUGUUGGACUGAGACUUUGAAAACAACUUUGACUUACUUUGGUUUAAAUCCUUUGAAAUGUAUGAAAAUGUUCACUUACAGUUCUAAAUGUAAUGUUUUUAAGUUUUUAAUUUUUUAGGGUGCAGUUUGUUUACGUGCAGGUGUGGUCUUGUGAUUGCUGUCUAUCACAAGUAGAGUGAAGGGUAAGGGAUGGGAGGGUAAGAAUUUUGACAAGCUGUGGCAAAGGAAACUAUACCUUUCAUUUUUAAAAAGUGUAAAUAGAAAAGUUUUUAACGGUUUUAUAUGAAUUUCACUAUAAAUAAGCAUUUUAAGACUGACAAAUGUUGAACUGUAUAUACAUUUAUCAACUUAACUGCCCAGUUUUUGGUGCUGAAGUACUGUAAGUAGAAUUUAUCAGUAGCGUCCUAAUUUCUGUGUCUACACCUGGGGAGAAGCUGUGAUGCUGUAGUUAAUCAACUUACACAAGUGCUUACACUUGUGUAACUUACACUGAUAAUCUCGGCAGGAGCAUCCCUGAGACACCUACCUUGUGGUGGUGAUUGUCCCCAUUUCUACUAGGUGAAAGUUACUCACCCAUAGAUGGAGCUCUUGGAUAGCAUUUUAUUGUACAAAUGUGUUUCAACAACCACUUUGUGACUGUUCCUAGCUAAGGGGAAAUUUAACUUCUCUUGGGUCAUAGACAUCUUUAAGAAGCUGAUUAUUCUAUGAACUCUCUCACCAAAAAAAUACACAUGCCAGGACACGUGUUAAGAUUUUGCAUACAAUUUUAGGGACUUAAGAACUCCCAAGACCAUCCAUGUAUUCCAGGUUAAGCCUUCUGUUAUGGUCAGCUCAUUACUUACAGGUGUAAGUUUUUAUCAAAUAAAAUAUCUUUUGGAUACACAUG